rnacentral:lncRNA from 1 species
CAACAGAUUCACCCCUUUAAGAAACUUGUUGUAUGUGAACCCAACACCAUGAAAUAUAAGGGAUUCUCACUUGUGACCUUCUGCAUAUUCCUUCCAUCCUUUAGUCCAACCCAACCACUAUGUGAAAACAGCCUCCCCCAAUCCAGCUGGAGAGAGUGGACGUGCAGCACCAACAGUAGUGAGGUGAAUAGCCAACAGUGUGGGACAUGAGGAGCAGUGCUCUAAUGGAGAAACAGAUAUGAUUAAGCUGACAUACAGAUGUUGUGGCUGAAAGCAUCAUUUUAAUGUCAGCUCCUCCCGUUAAAUGUCAAGUUAAAGAUGCACGAGGAAGAAAUCGCUCCACUGUUUCAUGGUUGUUAAAAUUCUAAUAGUUCACCUAAUUUCAGUUUAUGUGACAAAACAAGCAAGUAUAGUGUAGAGAAUCAUUGUACCAUCUAAAGCACUGUGAAAUGUCACGUCCUGACCCUUGUAAGAUGUCAUUUUCUAUAGUAGAGUAGGUCAGGGCGUGACAGGGGGUGUUUUGGGUGGUUUUCUAUGUUUUCUAUUUCUAUGUUUAGUUCUAGUAUUCUAUUUCUAUGUUGGAGUUUUUUGGGAUGAUCUGCAAUUAGAGGCAGCAGGUUCGCGUUGUCUCUAAUUGGAGAUCAUAUAUAUGUUGGGGUUUUUUCUAUUGUGUUUGUGGGCAGUUGUAUUCUGUUUAGUUGUGUUCUGUGUAGUCUUCAGUACCUGACAGAACUGUUAGCUGAUCGUUUUCUCUUUGUUAUUUUCUUUAGUGUUCUGAGUUUAAAUAAACGUCAUUAUGAGCACUCAA